AAACGUAGGAGGCAAGCGUUAUCCGGAUUUACUGGGCGUAAAGCGCGUGCAGGCGGUUUGGAAAGUUGGAUGUGAAAGCUCCCGGCUUAACUGGGAGAGGUCGUUCAAAACUUCCAGACUAGAGGAUGGGAGAGGGAGGUGGAAUUCCGGGUGUAGUGGUGAAAUGCGUAGAUAUCCGGAGGAAACCCAGUGGCGAAAGCGGCCUCCUGGACCAUUUCUGACGCUCAGACGCGAAAGCUAGGGGAGCAAACGGGAUUAGAGACCCCGGUAGUCCUAGCUGUAAACCAUGUAGACUUGGCGUCGGUGGGUUUAAAUCCAUCGGUGUCGAAGCUAACGCGAUAAGUCUACCGCCUGGGGACUACGGCCGCAAGGUUAA
rnacentral:rRNA from 1 species